UACGGGGGGGGCAAGCGUUGUUCGGAAUUACUGGGCGUAAAGGGUUCGUAGGUGGCUUGCUAAGUCAGACGUGAAAUCCCUCAGCUUAACUGGGGAACUGCGUCUGAGACUGGCAAGCUUGAGUGCAGGAGAGGAAUGCGGAAUUCCAGGUGUAGCGGUGAAAUGCGUAGAUAUCUGGAGGAACACCGGUGGCGAAGGCGGCGUUCUGGACUGCAACUGACACUGAGGGACGAAAGCCAGGGGAGCAAACGGG
rnacentral:rRNA from 1 species